rnacentral:rRNA from 1 species
AAUUUUGGACAAUGGGGGAAACCCUGAUCCAGCCAUCCCGCGUGUGCGAUGAAGGCCUUCGGGUUGUAAAGCACUUUUGUCAGGGAAGAAAUCGUACAGGCUAAUAUCUUGUGCGGAUGACGGUACCUGUAGAAUAAGCACCGGCUCACUACGUGCCAGCAGCCGCGGUAAUACGUAGGGUGCAAGCGUUAAUCGGAAUUACUGGGCGUAAAGGGUACGCAGGCGGCUAGGAAAGAAGGAUGUGAAAUCCCAGGGCUCAACCUUGGAACUGCAUUCUUAACUGCCUAGCUAGAGUAUGUCAGAGGGGGGUAGAAUUCCACGUGUAGCAGUGAAAUGCGUAGAUAUGUGGAGGAAUACCGAUGGCGAAGGCAGCCCCCUGGGAUAAUACUGACGCUCAGACACGAAAGCGUGGGGAGCAAACA